CAUUUUGUGUGGGCAGCGGUGGCUGCAGGUCUACCGUAUUUUAUGUUUCUGGCGAGACGAAAGCGGAAUCUUUAUCCCGUGGAUUCAUUUAACUGCGGCAACCAUCCACCGUUCCCUCAGGACAGCACCUAGUGAAGAUCGGAAGAGUAGCGAUCUGUCAGAAAGUUGGUCUGAAGAAAAGGACAGUUAAGUGACAAACAUCCGGAAGUAUUACUGAGCUCCCUGGCUCUUUGUCCACCCUCAUGUUGGAAAUGGUGAGAGAACUGAUGCUGAAUCAUAAGAUUCCUGGGCCUCGCUUCAGAUCUGGUGAAUUCAAAUCCAUGGAGAAUUCUUAUGCGGGUGGUCUCUGAACAAGAUGGAGAAACAGUUAUCAACUUACGUGCACGCCCAUCUAAAUUCUGUUCUUCAUAUUCUUAUAUGGAUGUUUUUUUACUUUGUUUCAAUUAUUGACAUCUCAGAUUUUUUCCUAUUAUUGUCAUCCUUAGUUUUUCAUCCAGUUCACUGAAUUGGAGCGCUAAUGCACCAGAUAUCCAGGGAACUGUCCAAAAUUCCUUGUCAGGAUUUAUCUCCUCCCCUGCUCCCCCCUUCUCAGAGUACACAUUUAUGGUCAGUAUAUACAUACAGGCUAUGUAUACUUAAUAAUACAUGAACAUGUAUUUCUUUUUUUUUAAUGGAUAUGAAAUAUAGUAUUUUUUUUUAAAUUUUAUUAUUUCGGUUGUGCCGGGUCUUAGUUGCGGCCAGCAGGCCCCUUAGUUGUGGCAUGUGAACUCUUAGUUGCAGCAUGCAUGUGGGAUCUAGUUCCUUGACCAGGGAUCAAACCCACGUCCCCUGCAUUGAAAGGCAGAUUCUUAACCACUGUGCCACCAGGGAAGUCCCCAUGUAUUUCUAAUAUACUUUCCUAGUGAUUUUUAAAUGUGUCUGUUUUUCCCACUGGGGAAAGAAUUGCAUAUUAUUUUUUUUUAAUCUUUCCUGGCAGUAUGAUCCAUUUUAGACAUCUAAAUUUUUGCAUUGAAUCUUUACUAUCACUUGGUUGCUGCUGACUCUUAAACCAAUCGGUCUACUAAAGGUUCCUUUGAGAAUGAUAGAAAUGAAAGCAAAGGGAUAGUCUUAUCAGAUAAGUGCUUUUUUAUCUGAAUGUAUUCGGUUUCUUCCAUAAGAUGGCUUUAGUAGUGCUUAGUUGUCUUUAACUUCAUUUGAAACAAUUUUGUUAGAUUGUAUUGUGAUAGCUGUCAUAUCAGCGUACUUUUUUAAAAAAAGCAUCAAAAUUGGUGAAUUUUUGUGUAGCCAUUUUAAUAUUGAAGAUGGAAGGAAAAAAACAGCAGCAUAUUAUGCUUUAUUCAAGAAAGGUUAAAACACAACUGAAAAGGCAAAACAUUCGUGCAGCGUAUGGAAAAGGUGCCGUGACUGAACGUGUCAAAAGUGGUUUGCAAAGUUUUGUGGUAGAGAUUUCUGACUGGACGAUGCUCCAUAGUCGGGGAGACCAGUUCAAGUUGAUAGCAGUCAGAUCGAGACGUAAAUUUCAAAACAAUCAACGUUAUACCACGCAGGAGAUAAGCCGACACACUCAAAAUCUCCAAAUCAGGUGUUGAAAAUCAUUCGCACCAGCUUGGUUAUGUUAAUCGCUUUGAUGUUUGGGUUCCACGUUAAGCGAAAGAAACCUUGACCAUAUUUCUGCACUGCGAUUCUCUACUUACGUAACGAAAACAUUCCGUUUUUAAAAACAAAUUGUGAUGGGCAAUGAAAAUUGGAUACUGUACAAUAAUGUGGAAUAGAAGAGAUGUUAUGGAAGAAUCCGAACAAACUUCUUUGGCCAACCCAAUAUUAUUUGUAAUCUCUAAACCAAAACUUUAUUCUUUAAAACGUUUGUAAUUUUCUUUCCUAGGUACCAGUAUCGAGGUUUACAGUAAUAAGGUAUUCAGUCUUUGCUGAAAAUAAAUUUGUUAUCUUGUCAAAGUAAAA